GCUUAUGGCCACACCGCCUGGUUCACGCCUGAUCUCGUUUGAUCUCGGAAGCUAAGAUAGUUUAAACCUGGUUAGUACUUGAUGGGAGACCGCCUGGGAAUACCAGGUGCUGUAAGCU
rnacentral:rRNA from 1 species